AAAAAAAAAACUACAAAAAAGUAGCAGGAAACAAAAUUGGAAAUAGUACAGUUGAUUCUUCCAGAGGUACUAUCGUGCUGAGUUGAUAACAUUGUGUACUUUUUAUCUAUAUUUGUAUCUAAAAGCAUUUCGCAUUUUUGAGUAUAAUUCAUCUAAAACACAUGUAUGUUCUCUUCGUUUAUGUUCUUCUUGCUUUCUCCCGCUAGCUUAUUAUUUGUCCCUCGUAGCUGUAAAGACGAAAACAUUUAACUAUAGUUCAUUAUCUGGUUCUGUACCUUCAUUUUCAACUUCAUGAGAAGAGGCUGUACUGUUGUUGUGUAUCCUCAAGUAGUGAGGAUGAGGGUGCAUCUGAUGGUAUCUCUACAUUUUGAGACUGCAUUGGAGAUGCUAACGUAUCAAAUGGUGCAUCGUCAGCAACCAACUCGAGCUUUGACACUUCAGUACCAUCAGAUGGUGCAUCGGUAGUAGCCAACUCCAAGUUUGACCCUUCAGUCGUAUCAGACGGUGCGUCCUCAGCAGCCAACUCCAAUUUUGACCCUUCAGUAGUAUCAGACAGUGCGUCCUCAGCAGCCAACUCUGGUUUUAACACUUCAGUAGUAUCAGAUGGUGCGUUGUCAGCAGCCAACUCCACUUGUGAU
rnacentral:misc_RNA from 1 species